rnacentral:sRNA from 1 species
AUGUCGGAGGCGCGUGGAGAGCCAGGGUCCGGGCCUGAGGCUGGCGCCCGAUUCUUUUGCACUGCGGGUCGCGGCCUGGAGCCGUUCCUUAUGCGGGAGGUGCGGGCGCGGCUGGCGGCCACGCAGGUUGAAUAUAUUUCAGGAAAGGUUUUUUUCACCACCUGUUCUGAUUUGAAUAUGUUGAAGAAAUUAAAAUCUGCAGAAAGAUUAUUUUUGCUGAUUAAAAAGCAGUUUCCACUUAUUAUUUCUUCUGUAAGUAAAGGAAAAAUAUUUAAUGAAAUGCAAAGACUUAUAAAUGAAGAUCCAGGAAGUUGGUUGAAUGCCAUUUCAAUUUGGAAAAAUCUUCUCGAACUUGAUGCAAAAAAGGAAAAACUUUCUCAGAGAGAUGAUAACCAACUGAAAAGAAAAGUGGGAGAAAAUGAAAUCAUUGCAAAGAAAUUAAAAAUAGAACAAAUGCAAAAGAUAGAAGAGAAUAGGGACUGCCAGCUGGAAAAACAAAUAAAAGAAGAAACUCUGGAGCAAAGAGAUUUUACCACUAAAAGCGAAAACUUUCAAGAAGAAGAAUUUCAGAAUGACAUAGAGAAAGCAAUUGAUACUCAUAAUCAGAAUGACUUGACUUUCAGAGUAUCUUGUCGCUGCAGUGGAACUAUUGGAAAGGCCUUCACUGCACAGAUGUCCUUUGUAUUUGGAAAUCCUGACACCAUAGUCCUCAGCUUUUGGGGUUUCUCUUCAGUUCAGCUUUAUGCUUAUUCAGUGGCUACUCUGCACAGGUCCUGUACAUGGGAUUGUCACCAGGACCUAGACUGCAAAUGCACGUGAGGUCUCAGCAAUGUAGAGAAGAGCGAACACCACAAACUGUUGCCAUCACCAGACCUCAUCAGUUGGCCCUUACAAAGUUCAGUGAUGUUAAAGGCCAUUGGUCUGAAUACUUUAUCAACCUUAAAAUCAGUCAGACCCUAAA